AUUGAACGCUGGCGGCAGGCCUAACACAUGCAAGUCGAGCGAGCGGCGGACGGGUGAGUAAUGUAUGGGGACUGCACGAUAGAGGGGGAUAACUACUGGAAACGGUGGCUAAUACCGCAUACUGUCGAAUAACCCAUAUGGUAUUAGUUAGUAGGUGAGUUAAUGAAUUACCUAGGAGACGAUCCCUAGCUGGUCUGAGAGGAUGAUCAGCCACACUGGAACUGAGCCACGGCCCAGACUCCUACGGAGGCAGCAGUGGGGAAUAUUGCACAAUGGGCGCAAGCCUGAUGCAGCCAUGCCGCGUGUAUGAAGAAGGCCCUAGGGUUGUAAAGUACUUUCAGUCGGGAGGCGUUACCGACAGAAGAAGCACCGGCUAACUCCGUGCCAGCAGCCGCGGUAAUUC
rnacentral:rRNA from 1 species